UACGUAGGGGGCUAGCGUUGCUCGGAAUCACUGGGCGUAAAGCGCACGUAGGCGGAUUGUUAAGUCAGGGGUGAAAUCCUGGAGCUCAACUCCAGAACUGCCUUUGAUACUGACGGUCUUGAGUCCGGGAGAGGUGAGUGGAACUCCGAGUGUAGAGGUGAAAUUCGUAGAUAUUCGGAAGAACACCCGUGGCGAAGGCGGCUCUCUGGGACGGUACUGACGCUGAGACGCGAAAGCGUGGGGAGCGAACAGG
rnacentral:rRNA from 1 species